rfam:Nicotiana attenuata strain TT chromosome 7, whole genome shotgun sequence.
UGGACAGAUUAUUGUAUUCGACUGUAUUCACGGCGUGAAACAGGGGAUACCACUGUUUUUAAACGAAAAGUGAAUCAAUUAACAUAAUAGACUCCU